AGGUCUGUAACUCAGUGGUAGAGUAUCACCAUAACGAGGUGAAAGUCAUUGGUUCAACUCCAGUUAGGCCUA
rnacentral:tRNA from 1 species